ensembl:lncRNA LINC01752 long intergenic non-protein coding RNA 1752
AAGCAUUAUCACAUUCCCUUAGAGACACCAGACCAGCAUCAGCUGCCCGUGUCCUUCCAAGAUGCCUGGGUCCAGCUUGUGGGAGGGACUGUGAAUCCUGAGGACAGCACCAGCUGAGCUUCGGAUCCUUCUCAAUGGUGCCUUUUCAGUUCUGCAGGGCCCUCCUCUCCUCUGAGAAUAUGGGUUCUCUGACAUCCAGACUGAAGUGCAGUGGCAUGAACUCAGCUCACUGCAGCCUUGACCUCCUGGGCUCAAGCAAUCCUUCUACCUCAGCCUCCUGAGUAGCUGGGACUACAGGUUGUUUAAUCUAAUGUUCUUUGGAAUAAAAACCUCCCUGCCAAGUAGUACUUGGUUUUAUGCUCAACAUGCUUUGACUGUUGAAAAGAGACCUUUGGCACACAUUGAAGGGAUGGUGAUGGAGAUGCCAAUCCAUGGAAUCAGGUGGCACAGCUAUGUUGGUAGCUAUAGCAGAAGUCUUCUUGGCAAAGAUUCCUCCAGGGAAGGAAGGUACCAUUGGAGAACCAUGCAUGAAGACAGGGAAGAAAUGAUUGGAAUCAUGAAACAUUAAACUGGAAGGAAGCCCUAGGCAAACCUAACUCAUGGGAAAACAGACACCCACAUGUUACCCAGUUUAGUACCAAAACCAAGGCUGGUAUUUGCAUAAAUAUACUUUUCUUCUCUAUCUAAUAUCAAGGCCUUCUUAGUAUUGUUAAUAGGCCUUAAGCUUGGUUUGUCUACAUAGAAAUCAAAAUAACAAUGUCAACCCAUGAAAGAAUUAAAAGAAGUCCCAAACAGUUCUGAUUUCCUCCAAUGUGACUAUUUCUGAUAUAUUAUAAAAUAACAGAAAUCAAACUC